rnacentral:rRNA from 1 species
GGAUGACCGCUGGCGGCGUGCCUAAUACAUGCAAGUCGAGCGAACAGACGAGGAGCUUGCUCCUCUGACGUUAGCGGCGGACGGGGGAGUAACACGGGGAUAACCUACCUAUAAGACUGGGAUAACUUCGGGAAACCGGAGCUAAUACCGGAUAAUAUAUUGAACCGCAUGGUUCAAUAGUGAAAGACGGUUUUGCUGUCACUUAUAGAUGGAUCCGCGCCGCAUUAGCUAGUUGGUAAGGUAACGGCUUACCAAGGCAACGAUGCGUAGCCGACCUGAGAGGGUGAUCGGCCACACUGGAACUGAGACACGGUCCAGACUCCUACGGGAGGCAGCAGUAGGGAAUCUUCCGCAAUGGGCGAAAGCCUGACGGAGCAACGCCGCGUGAGUGAUGAAGGUCUUCGGAUCGUAAAACUCUGUUAUUAGGGAAGAACAAAUGUGUAAGUAACUAUGCACGUCUUGACGGUACCUAAUCAGAAAGCCACGGCUAACUACGUG